ensembl:lincRNA
AUGUCAGGAAAUAAUGAGGGUUGUGUAUUUGAAGAUAUGUGCUUAGUAGAUUGGAUGUGUCCCUACAGGGAGCCAAAUAUGUUUGUGACCACACAGAGCUCAUUCAGUAACCCAUCUGUGACACACCUAAUGGAUAAUAACUCCUAUUUCUUGCCCUGGAACCCUUCAAUAGGAGAGUGUGUGUGUGUGUGUGUGUGUGUGUGUGUGUGUGUGUGUGUGUGUGUGUGUGUGUGUGUUGAUAUCCCUACUACCCGGUCUCAUGUUCACCAUGGAUUUUCUUAUUCUUCAGGCCUCUUUGACCCUGAACACAUGAGAUAUGACAUCUACUCAGGACCCUACUCAGGACCCUUCCAUGGUAGAGACAGACAUGCCAGAUUCUGACUGCACCCUGUAUCUCCUCCAAAAAAAAUGGAUGGCUGCAGAAAAACUUCCACCUGGAGGCCUGCUUUGGAUGUGACAAAGCCAGUCACAUAGCCUUUCACCUCUACUGCCUAGUCCCCGCCUGGAUUGGACAACAGGAUGCUGAGGGAACUGAUCGUCUCAUCCAGCCAAGACAGGUAGACCAAUCCCUAACCACACAGGAAAAUCUGUCAGGCCUUCUGGGCUUAGCAGCUAAAGGCAAAGUACUGCUUUGGUCUGGGACUUGUGUUCCCCAAAGACCACAGAGACUUGGGAUCACCUACAUAGCUGGAAAGCUGUCUCACUUCUGCUAAUUUAUUUAUCCCUCUCAGACCUAUCUGAUGUUGUUUGGUGACUAGGCUACCUGUAGCUCAUUAGUUCAUUAGUUAAGUUUCCUGCUAAAAGUACAGACAAGUGUGCCUCUUUCACUGGCUUCAUAGUCGGGGAUUAACAGGUUUCAGAUGUAACUUCAGAGGUUCAGAGUUUUGAAUUUCCUCUGGUUGUUUUCUAAAAAUGUUCAUACCUUUUAACCUAAAGCCAUAGCCUUUUGCUAUGACAUCAAGAUGUAAAUCUGUUCCAGCUGUCUUACAGUUACCUGUGAGUUCUUGGGAGAAGUUCUGCUUCUGUAUCAAGAGAUCUGGUCUGGUGAAAACAGUCUCCAGAGCCCAUUUUGACCCCACCUAUUUUCAGUAUAUCUUUCAGGUUCACUCAUCCUGCCUUGGUCAAGGCCAGGCCAUAGAGGGUCCUCCAGAUAAUGCCAGCACCUUCAUUAGCUCCUGAGACUUCACCAUUUGUACCACCUCUACAAGCUCAAAUGGGCACCUACCCAACAACUGAAAUCUGGUUUUAAAGGUCAUACCCCCCUCAUGUCUCCCUUGCCUCUUCUGUACAACCAGGAUACUUCUCCAUUCCAUUCACUCUGGCAGUUGUCACCUCUCCCAUGGCUAGCCCCAUACAUAGGGCCAAUGAUAACAAUCUACUUUUUUCUCCUUGGAACCUGCCUUCUCAGCUCCCUCAAGAAACAGACGCCUGAGGUCUACAGGCUGGCAGUUAACUGAAAACUUCUCCACCCAUACCUCCUGCUGAAUGUGAGCUCACCUACUUCAGACUUUCUCCCUCCCCACAUGGUCCCUUGUCAGCAGGAAGAAGCCAGAUUUAAACCGACGCCCCUAUACCCAAGGAGUCUGGGAUGUUUAGGUGGAAGCCAUACUGGCUUUACAAAGAGGUUGGAAUGGUUGGUAGCCCUGUCCCAAACCCGCCCUCAAAGUGCCAAGGGUGGUGUCCACUCCCUCACUUCAGUCCAGACUCCACCCCUAAAAUCCUAACCCAUCCUUCUAUUGGUGGCUCCACCCCCGGAGAGCAUUAAAAGCCCC